rnacentral:tRNA from 1 species
GGUCCCAUCGUCUAGUGGCCUAGGACACUGGCCUCUCACGCCGGUAACACGGGUUCGAGUCCCGUUGGGAUCACCA